rnacentral:rRNA from 1 species
GACGUAGGGCGCGAGCGUUGUCCGGAUUUAUUGGGCGUAAAGAGCUCGUAGGCGGUUCGGUAAGUCGGGUGUGAAAACUCCAGGCUCAACCUGGAGAUGCCACUCGAUACUGCUGUGACUUGAAUCUGGUAGGGGAGCACGGAAUUCCUGGUGUAGCGGUGAAAUGCACAGAUAUCAGGAGGAACACCGGUGGCGAAGGCGGUGCUCUGGGCCAGUAUUGACGCUGAGGAGCGAAAGCGUGGGGAGCGAACAGG